CACUUACUCUAAAGACAGCAAUUCUUUCUGUCCAAGCAUUACUCUCUCUCCUGAACCUGAUGACCCUCAAGAUGCUGCUGUAGCGCAACAGUAUCUUAGAGACUUCCAGACCUUUGUUGGCACAGCUCGCUACUGGACAGAAACUUUUGCCAAGACCUCAUCGCUUGGGGUCGAGGAAAAGGUA